GGGAAUGUAGCUCAGUGGUAGAGUGCCUGCCUAAUAUGCAUGAGGCUCUGGGUUUGAUCUCCAGCACUA
rnacentral:tRNA from 1 species